rnacentral:rRNA from 1 species
AAAAGCUAAUAAGGGCACACGGAGGAUGCCUAGGCAGCAACAGCCGAUGAAGGACGUGAUAAGCUGCGAUAAGCUCUGUUGAGGUGCACAUAACCGAAAUAGGCAGAGAUUUCCGAAUGGGGGAACCUAUAUACUAGAAGAGUAUAUGUGAGAAAGGUAAGCUCGAGAACUGAAACAUCUAAGUAGCGGGAGGAAAAGAAAGUAAAAACGAUUCCCUAAGUAGCGGCGAGCGAACGGGGAAAAGCCUAAACCGUGCCAGUGUCAAGCGGACAGCGUUGCUGGCACGGGGUUGCGGGA